UGGGGAAUAUUGGGCAAUGGGCGAAAGCCUGACCCAGCAACGCCGCGUGAAGGAAGAAGGUCUUCGGAUCGUAAACUUCUUUUAUGAGGGACGAAGGACGUGACGGUACCUCAUGAAUAAGCCACGGCUAACUACGUGCCAGCAGCCGCGGUAAUACCUAGGUGGCAAGCGUUAUCCGGAUUUACUGGGUGUAAAGGGCGCGUAGGCGGGGAUGCAAGUCAGAUGUGAAAUCUAUGGGCUCAACCCAUAAACUGCAUUUGAAACUGUAUCUCUUGAGUGCUGGAGAGGUAGAUGGAAUUCCUUGUGUAGCGGUGAAAUGCGUAGAUAUAAGGAAGAACACCAGUGGCGAAGGCGAUCUACUGGACAGUAACUGACGCUGAGGCGCGAGAGCGUGGGGAGCAAACAGGAUUAGAUACCC
rnacentral:rRNA from 1 species